AGUGCUGAAGGCAUCUAAGCACGAAGCCCCCCUCAAGAUAAGAUUUCCCAUUACGCAAGUAAUUAAGACUCCAGGAAGACCACCUGGUAGAUAGGUCUCAGGUAGAAGAGUAGCAAUACUUGCAGCUAAGAGAUACUAAUAAGUCGAGGACUUGACCUAAA
rnacentral:rRNA from 1 species